GCCUACGGGGCGCAGCAGUGGGGAAUAUUGCACAAUGGGGGGAACCCUGAUGCAGCAACGCCGCGUGAGUGAAGAAGUAUUUCGGUAUGUAAAGCUCUAUCAGCAGGGAAGAUAAUGACGGUACCUGACUAAGAAGCCCCGGCUAACUACGUGCCAGCAGCCGCGGUAAUACGUAGGGGGCAAGCGUUAUCCGGAUUUAUUGGGUUUAAAGGGUGCGUAGGCGGGAUGCCAAGUCAGCGGUAAAAAUGCGGUGCUCAACGCCGUCGAGCCGUUGAAACUGGCGUUCUUGAGUGGGCGAGAAGUAU
rnacentral:rRNA from 1 species